GUUUAUGGCCAUACUGCUCUGAUUCCAAAAGCUAAGCAGCGUUGUGCCUGGCCAGUACUUCAAUGGGAGACCACCUGGGAAUACCUGGUGCUGUAGGCU
rfam:Papio anubis isolate 1X1155 chromosome 19, whole genome shotgun sequence.